UGGGGAAUAUUGGACAAUGGGCGAAAGCCUGAUCCAGCCAUGCCGCGUGUGUGAAGAAGGCCUUUUGGUUGUAAAGCACUUUAAGCGAGGAGGAGGCUACUAGUACUAAUACUACUGGAUAGUGGACGUUACUCGCAGAAUAAGCACCGGCUAACUCUGUGCCAGCAGCCGCGGUAAUACAGAGGGUGCGAGCGUUAAUCGGAUUUACUGGGCGUAAAGCGUGCGUAGGUGGUUCGUUAAGUUGAAUGUGAAAGCCCCGGGCUCAACCUGGGAACUGCAUCCAAAACUGGCGAGCUAGAGUAGGGCAGAGGGUGGUGGAAUUUCCUGUGUAGCGGUGAAAUGCGUAGAUAUAGGAAGGAACACCAGUGGCGAAGGCGACCACCUGGGCUCAUACUGACACUGAGGUGCGAAAGCGUGGGGAGCAAACAGG
rnacentral:rRNA from 1 species